CCUUGUCUUUAGCCUCUUUCCAACCAAAUAGUUACAGGAACGUAGUUUCUAGGAACAGUCCACUUCUAAACAGUUCUACCAACUACUCUCCCCCAAAACCGGUUUUGUCGUUUGCAUUGGCCACAGGAACUGGUAGGAGCGGUAAGGGAGCUACGCGAACACGGCAACGGUCUUUAUAGCAUCGUCACUUGACUUUAGCGCCACAUACUACAAAAACAACAAAUG